CCUACGUGAGGCAGCAGUGGGGAAUAUUGCACAAUGGGGGAAACCCUGAUGCAGCGACGCCGCGUGAGCGAUGAAGUAUUUCGGUAUGUAAAGCUCUAUCAGCAGGGAAGAAAUAACGGUACCUGACUACGAAGCCCCGGCUAAAUCCGUGCCAGCAGCUGCGGUAAUACGUCGGGGGCAAGCGUUAUCAGGCUUUCCUGGGUGUAAAGGGAGCGUAGACGGUCCUGCAAGCCAGAUGUGAAAGCCCGGGGCUCAACCCCGGGACUGCAUUUGAAACUGUAAGGCUGGAGUGUCGGAGAGGCAGGCGGAAUUCCUAGUGUAGCGGUGAAAUGCGUAGAUAUUAGGAGGAACACCAGUGGCGAAGGCGGCCUGCUGGACGAUGACUGACGUUGAGGAUCGAAAGCGUGGGGAGCAAACAGGAUUAGAUACCCGAGUAGUC
rnacentral:rRNA from 1 species